rnacentral:rRNA from 1 species
CCUACGGGUGGCUGCAGUGGGGAAUAUUGCACAAUGGGCGCAAGCCUGAUGCAGCCAUGCCGCGUGUGUGAAGAAGGCCUUCGGGUUGUAAAGCACUUUCAGCGGGGAGGAAGGCGUUAAGGUUAAUAACCUUGUCGAUUGACGUUACCCGCAGAAGAAGCACCGGCUAACUCCGUGCCAGCAGCCGCGGUAAUACGGAGGGUGCAAGCGUUAAUCGGAAUUACUGGGCGUAAAGCGCACGCAGGCGGUCUGUCAAGUCGGAUGUGAAAUCCCCGGGCUCAACUUGGGAACUGCAUUCGAAACUGGCAGGCUAGAGUCUUGUAGAGGGGGGUAGAAUUCCAGGUGUAGCGGUGAAAUGCGUAGAGAUCUGGAGGAAUACCGGUGGCGAAGGCGGCCCCCUGGACAAAGACUGACGCUCAGGUGCGAAAGCGUGGGGAGUAAACAGGAUUAGAUACCCUGGUAGUC